GAUGAACGCUGGCGGCGUGCCUAAUACAUGCAAGUCGAGCGAACAGAUGAGGAGCUUGCUCCUCUGACGUUAGCGACGGACGGGUGAGUAACACGUGGAUAACCUACCUAUAAGACUGGGAUAACUUCGGGAAACCGGAGCUAAUACCGGAUAAUAUAUUGAACCGCAUGGUUCAAUAGUGAAAGACGGUUUUGCUGUCACUUAUAGAUGGAUCCGCGCCGCAUUAGCUAGUUGGUAAGGUAACGGCUUACCAAGGCAACGAUGCGUAGCCGACCUGAGAGGGUGAUCGGCCACACUGGAACUGAGACACGGUCCAGACUCCUACGGGAGGCAGCAGUAGGGAAUCUUCCGCAAUGGGCGAAAGCCUGACGGAGCAACGCCGCGUGAGUGAUGAAGGUCUUCGGAUCGUAAAACUCUGUUAUUAGGGAAGAACAAAUGUGUAAGUAACUAUGCACGUCUUGACGGUACCUAAUCAGAAAGCCACGGCUAACUACGUG
rnacentral:rRNA from 1 species